rnacentral:misc_RNA from 1 species
GAGAGGGUUUAGGGAGUGAAAUUGGUGCAGAGAAGCUAUUUGAGAGAAAAAGAACCCUGCUUUAGACCAAUAUAGAUCACAGAGCAACAGAUACACAGAUUUCCAAGAAACAUAAAUGCAAAGAGCAACGGCUGUUGGAGUCAAUCACUAAAGAACGUUAAAGAAAAGUGUUAUAGAAAUAUGUACAACUCCCCAUGAAAGGAAAUGAAUUUAGAAAGGGUUUCAGCCAUGGAUAU